rnacentral:misc_RNA from 1 species
GAGGCUGGCUUGCAGUUUCCUGAAUGUUGUAAAGUAAAUUACACAGGUAGCUUAAAUGAACCAGAUGUUCUAGUUUGAGAACCCAGAUUUUAACAUAUUGGAAAGUUGUGUCAUUGGAAACUUUAAAGCAAUCCCUUCCUGAGCAAGUCAACUGGGUAUAAGAAUGAACAAGGGCUUUUGCUUUUAAGUUUUCUCCUGUUCUUGUACAAACCCUGCAUUUGACUUGGAUUGAGUAAUGUUUGGCAUCUUAUUGAUCACCUAGGAUGUUUACUUGUAUUUUUGCAUGUACAUUGUUUCUUUUGUUAUUUUGCAUUCCUAUUUUAUCUUUGUCUUUGGUUUUCCCUUAGUCCUUUCAGCAGUGGAGUGUUA